AAUUACCCAAUCCUGACACAGGGAGGUAGUGACAAGAAAUAACAAUACAGGGCUUAAAGUCUUGUAAUUGGAAUGAUGGGAAUCUAAACCCUUCCCAGAGUAUCAAUUGGAGGGCAAGUCUGGUGCCAGCAGCCGCGGUAAUUCCAGCUCCAAUAGCGUAUAUUAAAGUUGUUGCAGUUAAGAAGCUCGUAGUUGAAUUUCUGCCUUGUCAUUAAUCUCGCUUCCGAGCGUUUUUUUAUUGACUUGGCAUCUUCUGGAUUUGGUGCAUUCGGGUACUAUUUUCCAGGAUUUACUUUGAGAAAACUAGAGUGUUUCAAACAGGCGUUCGCCUUGAAUACUACAGCAUCGAAUAAUGAAGUAGGACUUUGGUUCUAUUUUGUUGGUUAUUGAGCCAGAGUAAUGGUUAAUAGGAGCAGUUGGGGGCAUUCGUAUUUAA
rnacentral:rRNA from 1 species